rnacentral:rRNA from 1 species
GACGAACGCUGGCGGCGUGCUUAACACAUGCAAGUCGAACGGAAAGGCCCUGCUUUUGUGGGGUGCUCGAGUGGCGAACGGGUGAGUAACACGUGAGUAACCUGCCCUUGACUUUGGGAUAACUUCAGGAAACAGGGGCUAAUACCGGAUAGGAGCUCCUGCUGCUUGGUGGGGGUUGGAAAGUUUCGGCGGUUGGGGAUGGACUCGCGGCUUAUCAGCUUGUUGGUGGGGUAGUGGAUUACCAAGGCUUUGACGGGUAGCCGGCCUGAGAGGGUGACCGGCCACACUGGGACUGGGAUACGGCCCGGACUCCUACGGGAGGCAGGAGUGGGGAAUGUUGCACAAUGGGCGGAAGCCUGAUGCAGCAACGCCGCGUGCGGGAUGACGGCCUUCGGGUUGUAAACCGCUUUCGCCUGUGACGAAGCGUGAAUGACGGUAAUGGGUAAAGAAGCACCGGCUAACUACGUG